rnacentral:rRNA from 1 species
AUGCAAGUCGAGCGGGGAAAGGUAGCUUGCUACCUAACUUAGCGGCGGACGGGUGAGUAAUACUUAGGAAUCUGCCUAUUAGUGGAGGACAACAUUUCGAAAGGAAUGCUAAUACCGCAUACGCCCUACGGGGGAAAGCAGGGGAUCUUCGGACCUUGCGCUAAUAGAUGAGCCUAAGUCAGAUUAGCUAGUUGGUGGGGUAAAGGCCUACCAAGGCGACGAUCUGUAACGGGUCUGAGAGGAUGAUCCGUCACACUGGGACUGAGACACGGCCCAGACUCCUACGGGAGGCAGCAGUGGGGAAUAUUGGACAAUGGGGGGAACCCUGAUCCAGCCAUGCCGCGUGUGUGAAGAAGGCCUUUUGGUUGUAAAGCACUUUAAGCGAGGAGGAGGCUCCCUAGAUUAAUACUCUAGGAGAGUGGACGUUACUCGCAGAAUAAGCACCGGCUAACUCUGUGCCAGCAGCCGCGGUAAUACAGAGGGUGCAAGCGUUAAUCGGAUUUACUGGGCGUAAAGCGUGCGUAGGUGGUCUUUUAAGUCGGAUGUGAAAUCCCUGAGCUUAACUUAGGAAUUGCAUUCGAUACUGGGAGACUAGAGUAUGGGAGAGGAUGGUAGAAUUCCAGGUGUAGCGGUGAAAUGCGUAGAGAUCUGGAGGAAUACCGAUGGCGAAGGCAGCCAUCUGGCCUAAUACUGACACUGAGGUACGAAAGCAUGG